ensembl:lncRNA
UUUCACCGAUCGCGUUGUGUAAAUAGCACACCGUCAAUCGUUGUUUACAUAUGUUGUAGAUUAGAUCUGCUAGGCCAAAUCAGACAGAGAAGUUUCAAAAUGUCUUUGAUCGUCAAUAUGUCAAAACUACAGUUGUUAAAUGUGUUCGUCGCCGAGCGUUUUUCGGCGGCUGCUGUGGAGAUAUUCGGGGCCGUAGAGAAGACCAUUGCAGAGUUUCAGGAACUAAUCUCCUGUUCAGCAGAGGAGAACGAGGGUCUACGGAGGCUGUUGGCCAUGGUUAUCAAACCAGAGAUAAAGUUACACAGUUGCUACUCACUCCAGCCGUUUCCCCUGAGCAGCAGAACUGUGAGCAGUCUGGGGGAGGAGGACCCAGAACCCACACAGAUUAAAGAGGAACAACAGGAGCUCAGGCUCAGUCAGGAGGACUCACCUCAGCCCUCACAUCUUUACCAAAACCAAACUGUGGAUGAUGGAUAGAGGAGCGCUCUACCUAUCAUCAUAACUGAAGAGAUCAAAACAGAACCUGAUGGAGAGGGAUACAGAGUAGCAGAACCAACCAGUGAUCAGCCCCACUCAGUUCAUCCAGACUGCUCUGCUGAAGUGGAGAAACUAUAUCAGUGUAAACAAUGUGGCAACAGCUUCACACGUAAGGGACACUUGACCAUCCAUUCAAGGAUACACACAGGAGAGAAAUCUUAUCUGUGCAAACAAUGUGGCAAAAGCUUCAUCCAGAAAGGUGACUUGGACAGACAUACAAGGAUGGACACAGGGGAGAGAUCUUUUCAGUGUGAAGACAGUGGCAAAGCUUUCAACCAGGAGAUAGAAUUGACAUUGCAUAUGAAAGUUCAUAGAGGACAGAGAACAUACAGCUGUCCUGAAUGCAGGAAACGUUACAUGGCAUUAAGCCAUUUAAGACGUCAUCAGAGUGUUCACACAGGGGAGAAACUUCAUCAGUGCAAAGAAUGUGACAAAUGCUUUAGUUAUAAAGGAAGCUUGAAGUUGCAUAUGAGCACUCACACAAAAGGGAUACAUAAUAUUACUGCAACGAGUGCAGCAAGUGAAUCUGAAGUGAAAACAACAAAUUAUACUUUAUCAUUGUGGAUUUCUUGUUACAUCCAACUUUAAAUUAAUGUUCUAUUUUAUGGCACUAGACAAAACAACGAAUUGAGUUGUGUGUGUGGAGGGGGAAGCAUCACUCAGUGUCAGCUUUUUAAGAGGAAUAUAGCUCUCAGUUUCAGGGACCUACCCUCCAGGACACUGCUGGCUUCAGGAAGUCCUCACCACUGUAUCUAGCACAGAGCACACACUUGGAUUUCUAAACAACAGGAGUUCCUAUUCAAUUGUUUAACAAUGACAAACAGAAUAUCUUCUAUCUGUACUGAUGGCUGCAUGUUAGAAUAUUGAAGUAGCCCAUCACAUCUGUAUUGACUCAAUACAGCAAAUAAACUUUGUAUUAAUAACGUUUUUUUUUUUUCAAUGGAUGUCAUAGUGAAACCCUAUUUUUCUCUGUUGAACAUGAUUUUUGUGCUGGUUCAUAUCAGGAAGGUUUAAUACAUCCUCUAUCAGCUCUAUUCCUUGCCUCUUACCCCCAACCCUAUCCUGGAACAGCAUUCCUAAACUCUCAGACGCUUUGACAAUACAGGCCCUGUGUCAAUUGUACCUCAUGACUGGUGUCUCGUAGGACAUGGCUGAAAGUAAAUCUGUGCCUUUGUUUAAUUAUUGGGUCACAAAGACCUUUGUUGGGUAAAGGUCAGGCUGUAAAGGACUUUGGGAACCAUUACCUUAUACUGACAGUGGCUUCCUGUGAAAACUGUGAGUGUUUAAAUGUCAGUGUCAGUGUGAUAUUUGACAGGCCCCAUUCCUAAGGAACACCAGCGUCAUGGAGAAUCCUCAACAUUCCAACUGACCUGACCGCGCCCUCCACAACCGUGUCUCCUUCCCCCAUCCCCGAGCCUGACCUCAGAGGGCCCUGAGGUACAGUGUUGUGAGAAUCAGGCCCAGCUUUAACUGAGUGUUCGGGUGCAUCUCAUAGUAGUCAUAAGUCUGACCCCUCCCCUUUUCCACUCCUUUGACUCCUCCUUUUUCCACUCCUUUGCAAUUCUUCUGCAGGUCGUUGUUUUGUGAGAGAAUGGUUCUCCGUUUACUAAAGUAACUGGAGUAAAAAAUCUGGUAAAUGAUAGCAGGAUAGCUAUAAUGAUACUUUUUGCCUGUGCAUACUGCUCUCUACUUGCAGGGCUCUCAACACAUUUUGGGGUUGUGGUUAUUCCUCCUGUGGUAGUGACUGUCAGAAAUGCCACUACAAUGGCAAACUUGAACUGCUGCUGACCUGACACCAAGACGACUGUCUCAUCAUCUCUAAUAACACUUGGCAAAAUAAUGUUGUAGAGAUUUAUUCGGAUAGAUAUUACUAGAUCCACAAAAAUCGAUCAUUUACGUCUAGCAUGUUUACUUUUACCCAAUAUUUGCCUGUAGGAUUAGGGGGACAGUGUCGCUGGCGCCCGUCUUACAAAGACAAUAAAGAAUCAACCACAAAGUUGACGAAUCAUGAAAUAUAAUGAAAAUAUUUCUGAAGAUAACAAACGGGUAAUCCCACUUCUAAACUAAUCUCUUCGACCAGCUGUGGGGUGGUUUGAUUUGGC